rnacentral:snoRNA from 1 species
AGCACAGGUGAUGAGUUUUGGGACUUAAUACUGAUCUUGUGAUGUCACCAACGUGAACUGAUGUGU